UUUGAGAGGUUGAAGCUGCCAGCAUGAUCUGAGGAACGCUAAAACAUUUUGUUAAAGAUUGGUUUCUUCCAUCAGGUCAUCUUACAGCUUCAAUCAUUCAAU